ensembl:lncRNA
CAAUAUUUGCCAGAAAAAGUCCAUUAUUUAUUGGAUAACAUACUUUUAAAUGACUUCUGAUUCUCAUUAGCAGGACAGAAGGAAGUCUCAUUAGGGAGAUCAGAAGGAAGUGGAAUCACAUCUUUAAAGUGCUGGAGGAAAAGAACCGUCAACCCACGAUUCUAUAUCCAGUAAAAUAUCCUUCAGGAGUAAAGGUGAAAUAAAGGCAUUCUCAGAUCAAGGAAAACUAACAGAAUUCCUUGACAGCAGGCCUGUUCUAAAAUAAUUGCUAAAAGAAGUUCUUCAGACAGAAGGGAAAUGAUACCAGCAGUUGACUUGGAAUAUCUGGAAUGAAGGAUGACCAAAAGAAAUGGAUGGCUUUAUAAGCGGUGCGUAUGUCUGCACCCGGGAUCUAAACCAGUGAAACCUGGGCCGCUGAAGUGGAACGUGCGAACUUAACUGCUGCGCCGAGGGGCUGGCCCCUUCCCAUAUGUCUUGAGUACUUUAAACUCUUAGAACCACUGCGUGUGCAGGGGCUUCAAUGGCAGCCUUGCUGCCCGUCCCAGAAUCCCACAAUGGCAGGAAUUCUUGGGGAGAUACCUGGAUCAGUCAGUAGAGGCGGGUGGGGAGCUGAGAUCUUGGGUCCACAAGUGACCAACAAGCUGAGGUCACAAAGGCUACAGAAAUUGCUCUGUAUUAGAAAUGAACUGGAAUCGGGUGAGAAGAGGAGCUGGCAAAAUAGCACAAGGUUGGAGACAAGGGGAAUGAAAACGGGAGUGGAGAAGAAGAAAACCCACCACAGUGGGAUGGCCACUGGCUUCAAAGAACAAGAGCACCCGCACUCAGUUUGAGACUGCUUCUGCCACAGAGAGCCGGGUGGCUGGGCGGCUUUGCUGUGUGAACAGGAUUCAAUGGAAAGGGCUGCCUUCUGUCAGGGUGCAGAACGGGAGCAGCACUCCUGGAACGUCUGGGUGAACCACACAGAGAGCAAGAGCAGGGACCCAGCGGUGGUCGUGAGAACACAAGCCCCUCAGGUCUUAUGGACACAUGGGCAAAACUUUGGACUUCCAUGUGGGCAGAUGGGAGUUUGUGCCCACAAAUCCAGGUCUCAGGAGCCUGGGAGAGGCCAGCGUAUAUCUGAGUUACACAAGAAGGCUCCAGGGCCAUGAGGCUGCAGGUGAGGAGAAAGGAGCCAGUGAUCCCAGGUCCAGGGCCCCCACCACCUGCAGAGAGAAUAGAAUUCAGAAGAGGAGAGGGCUUUCCCAGCAGAAAGUGGAAUUCAGAUCUGCAUCCUGAGGGGAGAGAAGUAGCUGCAGGGGUGGGAGAAGACAGAGAUCAGGUGCCACUACAAGCGCUGUGUGGUGGGAUUCUGCCUCCUCCUCCAGCCCAUCCUACACCACUCACUCCAUAUCACACGCAGACACAGGUUCAAGCCACCAACCCUAGAGCAAUAGCCUCCUAUCUCGUUUCCCUGAUUAAACAUUAACACUCUUGUCUGUUUCUACACAGAUGCAAGAGAUCUUUUAAGAACAUAAGUCUGAUAACAUCCCUCCUCUGCUUUAAACCUUCAGUGACAUUCCAUUGCUAGAAGAAACGCGAAGUCUUCUCUAUGGCCUGCAUGGGCCCU